rnacentral:rRNA from 1 species
AGGGCACCACCAGGAGUGGAGCCUGCGGCUUAAUUUGACUCAACACGGGAAAACUUACCCGGCCCGGACACUGGAAGGAUUGACAGAUUAACAGCUCUUUCUUGAUUCAGUGGGUGGUGGUGCAUGGCCGUUCUUAGUUGGUGGAGCGAUUUGUCUGGUUAAUUCCGAUAGCGAACGAGACUCUAGCCUACUAAAUAGGCAAUCGGUCAAAAGUACCGAUCGUCCUUCUUAGAGGGACAGGCGGCGUUUAGCCGCAUGAAAGAGAGCAAUAACAGGUCUGUGAUGCCCUUAGAUGUCCGGGGCCGCACGCGCGCUACACUGAAGGAAUCAGCGUGUGUUUGCCCCUGUCCGGCAGGACUGGGUAACCCAAUGAACCUCCUUCGUGAUUGGGAUAGGGGCUUGAAAUUCUUCCCCUUGAACGAGGAAUUCCCAGUAAGCGCAAGUCAUAAGCUUGCGUUGAUCACGUCCCUGCCCUUUGUACACACCGCCCGUCGCUACUACCGAUUGAAUGAUUUAGUG